AUGCAAGUCGAACGAGAAGUUUUCUUCGGAGAACGAGUAAAGUGGCGCACGGGUGAGUAACGCGUAAGUAAUCUACCCUUGCAUUUGGGAUAACUACGGGAAGCUGUAGCUAAUACCGAAUACGUUCAUAGAGUUACGACUCUAUGAAGAAAGAUGACCUCUUCUUGAAAGUUAUCGUGCAGGGAGGAGCUUGCGUACCAUUAGCUAGUUGGUAGGGUAAAGGCCUACCAAGGCAACGAUGGUUAGCGGGUCUGAGAGGAUGAUCCGCCACACUGGAACUGAAACACGGACCAGACUCCUACGGGAGGCAGCAGUGAGGAAUAUUGCGCAAUGGGGGAAACCCUGACGCAGCGACGCCGCGUGGAUGAUGAAGGCCUUAGGGUCGUAAAAUCCUGUCAGAUGGGAAGAAAUGUAUGUAGGAAUAAUACCCUAUGUGCUUGACGGUACCAUCAAAGGAAGCACCGGCUAACUCCUUGCCAGCAGCCGCGGUAAUACGGAGGGUGCAAACGUUGUUCGGAAUUACUGGGCGUAAAGCGCGCGUAGGCGGUUUGUUAAGUCAGAUGUGAAAGUCCAUAGCUCAACUAUGGAAGUGCAUUUGAAACUGGCAGACUUGAGUACUGGAGGGGGUGAUGGAAUUCCCGGUGUAGAGGUGAAAUUCGUAGAUAUCGGGAGGAAUACCGGUGGCGAAGGCGAUCACCUGGCCAGAUACUGACGCUGAGGUGCGAAAGCGUGGGGAGCAAACAGGAUUAGAUACCCUGGUAGUCCACGCCGUAAACGAUGUCAACUAGGUGUUGGGGCGGUUAAUCGUCUCAUCCUGCCGGAGCUAACGCAUUAAGUUGACCGCCUGGGGAGUACGUCGC
rnacentral:rRNA from 1 species